rnacentral:rRNA from 1 species
AUUGAACGCUGGCGGCAGGCCUAACACAUGCAAGUCGAACGAGUGGCGGACGGGUGAGUAAUGUCUGGGAAACUGCCAGAUGGAGGGGGAUAAAUACUGGAAACGGUAGCUAAUACCGCAUACCAUCGGAUGUGCCCAGAUGGGAUUAGCUAGUAGGUGGGGUAACGGCUCACCUAGGCGACGGUCCCUAGCUGGCCUGAGAGGAUGACACGCAACACUGGAACUGAGACACGGUCCAGACUCCUACGGGAGGCAGCAGUGGGGAAUAUGGCACAAUGGGCGCAAGCCUGAUGCAGCCAUGCCGCGUGUAUGAAGAAGGCCUUCGGGUUGUAAAGUACUUUCAGCGAGGAGGCGUUACUCGCAGAAGAAGCACCGGCUAACUCCGUGCCAGCCGCCGCGGUAAUAC